CAGAGGGGGCAAGCGUUGUUCGGAAUUACUGGGCGUAAAGGGCGCGUAGGCGGCCUUCUAAGUCGAACGUGAAAUCCCCGGGCUCAACCCGGGAACUGCGUCCGAUACUGGAAGGCUUGAAUCCGGGAGAGGGAUGCGGAAUUCCAGGUGUAGCGGUGAAAUGCGUAGAUAUCUGGAGGAACACCGGUGGCGAAGGCGGCGUCCUGGACCGGCAUUGACGCUGAGGCGCGAAAGCCAGGGGAGCAAACGGGAUUAGAUACCCCGGUAGUCCUGGCCCUAAACGAUGAAUGCUUGGUGUGGCGGGUAUCGAUCCCUGCCGUGCCGAAGCUAACGCAUUAAGCAUUCCGCCUGGGGAGUACGGUCGCAAGGCUG
rnacentral:rRNA from 1 species